rnacentral:ncRNA from 1 species
GGAAGCCGGGUUACGGUGCCCAACUGCGCGCUAACCUAGAACCCACAAAGGGUGUUGGUCGAUUAAGACAGCAGGACGGUGGUCAUGGAAGUCGAAAUCCGCUAAGGAGUGUGUAACAACUCACCUGCCGAAUCAACUAGCCCCGAAAAUGGAUGGCCAUGAAGCGCGCGACCCACACCCGGCCAUCUGGGCGAGCGCCAUGCCCCGAUGAGUAGGAGGGCGCGGC